AGAGGAAGAGGAAGAGGGAGGGUGAGAAUGAGAGGGGGAGGAAGAGUGAGAGGUAGGGGUAGAGCUGGUAGAGGAGUUCAUGGCCAAAGAAGACAACAACUUUCAAAUGAAAUCAGAGCAACCUUAGUUGAUCAUGGGCUGACAAUGCGAGAGUCUGGACAGAGAGUGCAGCCCAACUUGAGCCGUUUUACUGUCGCCUGUGUCAUCCGGACAUUUAGACUGGAGUACAGGACUGAGAUACGCAGCCAUGGUGGAGGAAGGGGCCAAAUGAAAUCAGAUUACGAGAAAUUCAGAGCCACAUCAUCCAAGACAACACCAUAUUCAACAACAUUCAUCGAGUCAGUCUGUCCACAUUGGCUCGCAUUCUCAAGCGAAACCAAAUCAGAAUGAAACAACUUUAUAAGGUGCCGUUUGAGAGAAACUCUCAACGAAACAAAGAGGUCAGACGAGCAUAUGUGGAUGGAGUACUGGAAAUGGAUGCUCAUGCAAUCCCACAUGAAUUCAUCUUUAUUGAUGAGGCUGGGUUCAACCUAGCAAAGACCAGAAGAAGGGGGAGAAACGUCAUUGGCCACAGAGCCAUUAUAGAUGUUCCUGGCCAACGUGGUGGAAACAUCACAAUGUGCGCUGCCAUCUCCAAUACGCAUGGUGUCCUCCACCGUCAUGCCAACCUUGGACCAUACAACACAGCCCAUAUUCUCACAUUUCUGGACAGACUCCACAACAUUCUCAUACCACCAGAGCGUAUGAAUGAUGCAGACCAUCAAAGAACCCGGUACGUUGUAGUAUGGGACAACGUGAGCUUUCAUCGCGCAGCCCCAGUCCAAAACUGGUUUGCUGACCACCCACCCACCAUUUCUUGUGCAAUACCUCCCACCAUACUCACCAUUUCUGAACCCCAUAGAAUAGUUAUUUUCGGCAUGGCGGUGGAAGGUAUACGACCGGCAGCCCUUUGUGCGCAUGCCUCUUGUGCAGGCUAUGGAAGAAGCAUAUGAUGAGAUUGAUGUGGGUGCGAUUCAGGGAUGGAUAAGGCACUCAAGGCGCUUCUUCCCUCGAUGUCUGGUAAGGGAAUAUAUUGCCUGUGAUGUGGACGAGGCGUUGUGGCCAGACCCAGCUGUGCGGCAAGAUGCUGACUCAUUAUUUUUCUUGCCUCUUUUUGUUUUCCAUAUAUUUUUUCUGCACAUUUUUUCUGCAAUUUAAUUUUUCAGUUUACUG